GAUGAACGCUGGCGGCGUGCCUAAUGCAUGCAGGUCGAGCGAACAGACGAGGAGCUUGCUCCUCUGACGUUAGCGGCGGACGGGUGAGUAACACGUGGAUAACCUACCUAUAAGACUGGGAUAACUUCGGGAAACCGGAGCUAAUACCGGAUAAUAUAUUGAACCGCAUGGUUCAAUAGUGAAAGACGGUUUUGCUGUCACUUAUAGAUGGAUCCGCGCCGCAUUAGCUAGUUGGUAAGGUAACGGCUUACCAAGGCAACGAUGCGUAGCCGACCUGAGAGGGUGAUCGGCCACACUGGAACUGAGACACGGUCCAGACUCCUACGGGAGGCAGCAGUAGGGAAUCUUCCGCAAUGGGCGAAAGCCUGACGGAGCAACGCCGCGUGAGUGAUGAAGGUCUUCGGAUCGUAAAACUCUGUUAUUAGGGAAGAACAAAUGUGUAAGUAACUAUGCACGUCUUGACGGUACCUAAUCAGAAAGCCACGGCUAACUACGUG
rnacentral:rRNA from 1 species